ensembl:lncRNA novel transcript
AGACGUCCCAAGGUAUGAGCUGUAGAUACGCACGUGAGCGCUGGUGGGAGACGCCAGGCUGGGAUUUCCGCUCGAUCUGGGAAUGAGCAAUGCAACCUAAUGACACCCAGAGCUCCUGAAUCACCCGAGGAAAAUGACGAGAGACUCCCUCCGGUGGGAACGUCUCCUAGAAACAAGGCCUAAGAUGGGGCGACAACAGCCCCACAGCUGUGUCCAGAUGCAGGGAGCACUCGCCUGUGCUGUGAGGGACGGCCGGUGUCAUCGUUGGAGCUUCCUAAGAGUCCCAGAGGCUGAUGCACCUCCCAGACUCUCCUCGGCCCGGCUCCCUGGGCCCUGCUCCAGGGGCUUCAUUGCUCCCUGCCCCGGGUCACCCCUCGGCUCACCGUCUCUCAGGUGUGGAAUAUCCUGCUCCAAUCAAAGCCAUGUCACCUGCGUUGUCCAGUGAAACAUCAGUGGACAGGCGCUGCCCGGGCUCCAGGGAGCUCCUCACUGAGGCUCACUCCCUGUGCCUCUGCCAUCAGCACAGGGGGACAUGCCUGGCUGCCUGUGGGACCAGGGAGGACGCGCGGUGCGGGAGCAGAGCCAGCCACACUGCCGCUGCUGCACUGUUCAUCUGAGUGGCGCAAGAUUCAGUGCCUGCGUCAUAGAAGGGUCCGUGUCAGUAAGGAAGUGAAAAGCAAGAUGGAAUACUGGAACUCUCCUGGCAGAUUGUCUGAAGUCAAUGUGUUUUCUGGUUAUGUGUUUCAGCUGCGAGUUUUUCAAAUUGUUGCAAAUCUUCAAACAUUUUUCCAACAAAUUUACUGAAAAAAAUCCACAUAUAAGUGGCACCCCCACCAGUUUAAACCUGUGUUGUUCAAGAGUCAGCUAUUUUUAUGAGGUGUUUUCAAAAGUUUAUGGAAAAUGAAUCUUAUGAAUAAAACUAUGCAUGGAUUUCAAAUCUUUUGCACCAAAAUAAACUCAUACUAACUUGUUAUAAAA